CGGGAAUGUCGGAGAAAAGCGCGGCGUCGGUGACGAGCGGAGAAGUGGGCCGGGCUGAACCGCUCUCUCCCCUGGCUGGCCGGCUGAGGUCUCUGAGACCCUCAUCACCUGUAGCUUCCUGGCCGGCUCCUGAUUGGUCCACUGUCCCGGCUCUGAUAGCAGCCCUGGAGCCCGGGAUGAUUGAUGACGGCGAGGGCAAGGCCGAGCGCUGGCAGCAUAAAGCCCCAUAGACGCCUCAAUAAAGAGCCCGGCUAGUGGAGAGCCAGGGCCCCCGCUCAAUAGGACCCCCCCCCAGCCCCCACACA